GGGCCCGCACAAGUAGUGGAGCAUGUGGUUUAAUUCGAAGAUACGCGCAGAACCUUACCAACACUUGACAUGUUCGUCGCGACUCUAAGAGAUUAGAGUUUUCGGUUCGGCCGGACGAAACACAGGUGCUGCAUGGCUGUCGUCAGCUCGUGUCGUGAGAUGUUGGGUUAAGUCCCGCAACGAGCGCAACCCUCACUUUUAGUUGCCAUCAUUAAGUUGGGCACUCUGAAAAGAACUGCCAGUGAUAAGCGGGAGGAAGGUGUGGAUGACGUCAAGUCCUCAUGGCCCUUACGGGUUGGGCUACACACGUGCUACAAAUGGUAUGACAAUGGGUUAAUCCCAAAAAGCU
rnacentral:rRNA from 1 species